rnacentral:lncRNA from 1 species
CAUGGAGACCUCCAACACCGCUCUCCACUACGUGCCUCUUCUCCUGCUUAAGAACCUGGACGUCUUAGACGAGCUGGGCUUAUGGUGAAUGUGAUUGGGGACAGUCAAGGGUCUCUGAGGCCAUGCUGGAAGGUUGUUGGGUGAUGAACGAAGACAUCUGUCCUGAUCAGUCUGAAAAAUAAAAAAUCCACCUCUGUAAGGAUUUGUAACUUAUAAUGAAGUUUUGCUGCCAACAGAGCUCUUUGAAAUUGACAAGGACACUACUGUGUACACCAUCCUGAGCUCUGUCCUCCACGACCCAUACCACUUUGAGAAGCCAGAUGCUUUCCAUUCUGGCCACUUCCUGGAUUUGGAGGGCAACUUCAGGAAGCAAGAAGCCUUCAUCCUAUUCUCCAUGGCUCUGCUUCCUGCCCCACUGGGGAGGGGGAGAAGGGAUGAAGAUCCCCUCAGAGUCCUUGCAUCCAGCCCUCGUCUCUGCCCACAAAGAAUCUGUGGAGGUCUCCUGACUCCUCCCUGUUCAUUCUACCCUGUGGACACUACUGUGUACACCAUCCUGAGUUAUGUCCUCCAUGACACACACCACUUUGAGAAGCCAGAUGCCUUCCACCCUAGCCACUUCCUGGAUUCAGAGGGCAACUUCAGGAAGCAGGAAGUCUUCAUCUCAUCCUCCAUGG